ACCUAGGAGGGUCUCUACGUGGAGAAGAAAAGCUAGGGGAACAAAUAAUGCUCAAAAUGGAAAGAAAAAGGCUCCCCACUGGGAAAAUGUCACAAGAGAUCUGUUGUCAUUAGUAAAGGAUCUUUUGGUACAUUCACCUGCGUCCAAAAGGUUAAAAACCCAGGCCACACCUGCAAGGAAGUUAACUCAUGAUGAAUUGGUAGUGGCUGUUGUGCAACCCCACCACCAGCAAUGGUUAACUCAGGAUGAAUUGGUGGCUGUGUAGCCUCACCACCAGCAAUAGUUAACUCAAGAUGAAUUGAUGGUGAUUGCUGUGCAGCCCCACCACCAGCAAUGACUUGCCUAAGCUGGAACUAUGAGUGCUAGGGAAUCUCGAACAGUUCAUGAACUUCACCAACUGAUAAAAUCAAAGUGCCCACAAUUAGUCUUCCUCAUGGAUACUAAAUGUUUCAUAGAUAAAGUGGAAAGAAUAAGAAACCGAAUUGGGUUUGAUAGAAGCUUUGUGAUCAAUAGCAGGAGAUGGAAGGGGAUUAGCUUUGUUAUGGAAACCAUAUAUCACUUGAUGCGCUAUGCAAUCAUAGUAGGCAACUCGUCGGGAAAAGCACAAACAGCUUUUUCUGGCAGUCUCGGAUGUGAAAGCACUUGCGAUUGAUUAUGGAGGCCAAGGUCACUGCAUGAAGCUAGUUAUCUCAGCAGAAUGAGCAGUCUAUUCUCAGCUUGAGUAGCAAAUCCGCUCCCUCAUCGCAAAGAAAGCAAAUCAGUAAAAAAAAAAAAAAGGAACAAGGACUUAUCACUAUGAGGUAGACACAACAAUCCACGGGUACAAUGGAAGACUUGUUCCGCGCCACAAACGCACUGCCCGUGACACCACAGUAGCCUGCCAGUAUUGUAUAUUCACGGGUUACACUUACUAAUCGAUCGUUCCCUAUAUAAUUGAACCCCAUACCCAAAGCUCUCGAUAACUAGAGCGUUCCAAAACAGAUACAAAAGAAGAGAUCGAGAAGAUCGUUGGUACUGGGGCCGGGGAAUAUCAUUGAUGGAGUUUUCUGCAGUGAAGAAGCUCUUUCUUGUGACUGUGCUGCUUGUUGCCUUCUCGAGCAUCGGGAGGCUUCAGGUUUGCAACGCACAAAGCUUAUGCAACGUGCCCUUUUCUGGACUAAUGGAAUGCAAGCCAUCUGUGACUCCUCCAAAACCUACCGCGCCUUCCGCCAGCUGCUGCUCUGCACUCUCGCAUGCCGACCUUCGAUGUCUUUGCUCCUACAGAAACUCCAACCUGUUGCCUUCCCUUGGAA